AGCUGCGGCAGCGAACGUAUCACCCAAGACAACUUUACGGAGUUGACGAUUGACGGAGCGAAGCGACGUCAAAGCGUUCAUUAAAGUCGAGUUGGCUUAGGGAUACGUUCGUUGGGUAGGGGAGCGUUCUGUAAGCCUGUGAAGGUGGCCUGUGAGGGUUGCUGGAGGUAUCAGAAGUGCGAAUGCUGACAUAAGUAACGAUAAAGCGGGUGAAAAGCCCGCUCGCCGGAAGACCAAGGGUUCCUGUCCAACGUUAAUCGGGGCAGGGUGAGUCGACCCCUAAGGCGAGGCCGAAAGGCGUAGUCGAUGGGAAACGGGUUAAUAUUCCCGUACUUGGUGUUACUGCGAAGGGGGGACGGAGAAGGCUAUGUUGGCCGGGCGACGGUUGUCCCGGUUUAAGCGUGUAGGUGUGUGUUCCAGGUAAAUCCGGUUCACUUUAACACUGAGGCGUGAUGACGAGGCACUACGGUGCUGAAGCAACAAAUGCCCUGCUUCCAGGAAAAGCCUCUAAGCAUCAGGUAACAUCAAAUCGUACCCCAAACCGACACAGGUGGUCAGGUAGAGAAUACCAAGGCGCUUGAGAGAACUCGGGUGAAGGAACUAGGCAAAAUGGUGCCGUAACUUCGGGAGAAGGCACGCUGACAC
rnacentral:rRNA from 1 species